GUAGGUGGCAAGCGUUGUCCGGAAUUAUUGGGCGUAAAGCGCGCGCAGGCGGUUCUUUAAGUCUGAUGUGAAAGCCCACGGCUCAACCGUGGAGGGUUAUUGGAAACUGGAGAGCUUGAGUACAGAAGAGGAAAGCGGAAUUCCACGUGUAGCGGUGAAAUGCGUAGAGAUGUGGAGGAACACCAGUGGCGAAGGCGGCUUUCUGGUCUGUAACUGACGCUGAGGCGCGAAAGCGUGGGGGGAGCAAACAGGAUUAGAUACCCUGGUAGUCCACGCCGUAAACGAUGAGUGCUAAGUGUUAGGGGGUUUUCCGCCCCUUAGUGCUGCAGCUAACGCAUUAAGCACUCCGCCCCGGGAGUACGGCCGCAAGGCUG
rnacentral:rRNA from 1 species